rnacentral:rRNA from 1 species
UACGAAGGGGGCUAGCGUUGUUCGGAAUUACUGGGCGUAAAGGGAGCGUAGGCGGAUAGUUCAGUCAGAGGUGAAAGCCCAGGGCUCAACCUUGGAAUUGCCUUUGAUACUGGCUGUCUUGAGUAUGGGAGAGGUUAGCGGAACUCCGAGUGUAGAGGUGAAAUUCGUAGAUAUUCGGAAGAACACCAGUGGCGAAGGCGGCUAACUGGCCCAUUACUGACGCUGAGGCUCGAAAGCGUGGGGAGCAAACAGG